rnacentral:rRNA from 1 species
UGCCAGACUCCUACGGGAGGCAGCAGUGGGGAAUAUUGCACAAUGGGGGAAACCCUGAUGCAGCGACGCCGCGUGAGUGAGGAAGUAUUUCGGUAUGUAAAGCUCUAUCAGCAGGGAAGAAAAUGACGGUACCUGACCAAGAAGCCCCGGCUAACUACGUGCCAGCAGCCGCGGUAAUACGUAGGGGGCAAGCGUUAUCCGGAUUUACUGGGUGUAAAGGGAGCGUAGACGGCAGCGCAAGUCUGAAGUGAAAUCCCGUGGCUUAACCAUGGAACUGCUUUGGAAACUGUGCAGCUGGAGUGCAGGAGAGGUAAGCGGAAUUCCUAGUGUAGCGGUGAAAUGCGUAGAUAUUAGGAGGAACACCAGUGGCGAAGGCGGCUUACUGGACUGUAACUGACGUUGAGGCUCGAAAGCGUGGGGAGCAAACAGGAUUAGAUACCCCCGUA